CCGAGCUUACAACUCCCAAACCCAAUGUGAACGUUACCAAACUGUUGCCUCGGCGGGAUCUCUGCCCCGGGUGCGUCGCAGCCCCGGACCAAGGCGCCCGCCGGAGGACCAACCAAAACUCUUAUUGUAUACCCCCUCGCGGGUUUUUUUUAUAAUCUGAGCCUUCUCGGCGCCUCUCGUAGGCGUUUCGAAAAUGAAUCA
rnacentral:misc_RNA from 1 species